CUGAACUUCCAGUGAGUCAUUUUUCCACAGCCUUGAAUAGGUUAGGAUGAACUUCAGCAACCAGAGGUCUUCCAGCCCUGUCUGUAGCCUGUGCCAGACACAAGCUCUUCCUCUGCCACCAGGACAGUCACUCUGUUUGCACGAUGGGGAAUUGCAAGGCCAGGAACACAGUGUUCAUGACCAUGUUACUGGAAGUGGCAGACAGACCACUUGGGCAGCUCACUACCUCUGUGUGAGCAGCCCAGUUGUCAUGGGAGGAGAGGAGUGUGUGUGGCAUUCAGAUGUACCGGGAUCUUUCAUCAGUGGAGCAGAACGUUUGGCACCCGAGGUUAUCACCUGCUGAUGUCUUUCUGGGAUUGCCCAGCUGUCAACUAUGAUAAACAUGAUAAAGUGAAGACCUAACAUCUAGGGCGAGAUCUUAUGGAAAACCAGCAUUUUUCCUCAUUCCUGUAGGAGACAGCAAAAGUGCAUGGUCCUUCUUGAUAUGAGCUACUGCAGCUUGAGAGGUUUAACUUGAGCAGUCUCUCUCCUCACGGGGCAAUUGCAUUUCCUGGGAUGCUGCUGCUUACAUCUCACAGCACCAGCAUACACAUGCUUUAAAGCAACAAGGUAUACAAAUACUUUGAAAUCUGGCCAAGGAAGAUGGCCAAGAGCUGUGAGGAAGAGAAAGCUUUGAACAGAGCUGUAACUGAAGCAAAGUCUCCACCUUCUCAGAGGAAGAGGGUCUUGGAGCUGCCUGAUGAAGGGAACAGGCACUCAGCAGCACUCAGCAAGCAGCCCUGCCCUGUUCCUCACACCCAGUGCAGUGUGAGGCAGCUUUCCAGUGCUGCCUCAUUAUCUCAUUUCAAGAGUAAAAUCUGAUUAGAUUUAAAACACAAUCAGUAAAAUUGAAAACAUUCAGAUUUUCCAUGUGCAGGUAAGCAAACCCUUGGGUUCGAGUGUUACUGUAUGGAGAAUACAACUGCAGCUGGCUGGGAUUUCCCCUCCCACCAGGGUAGGAGCAGGCUGUGGAUCUUCCCUGGAGCUUGCCUGGGCACCACUGCAGAAAGCCUCCAUUCUUGGACGCAUUUUGUUCACAGUGACCAUGAGGUUCUCAGUGACCCCACACAACUCCUCAGCUGAAGGUUUUUGGCCAUGCUCUUGUGUUACUGAAGUCAGCAAGAACAACACAACCAAUUCAAGCAGGAGCAGAGUUUGGCCUGACAGAAGCAAACAGAAAGGCUGAGACAAUGAGCCCUCUCAAUUGCUCAGAAAUCAUCUUCCAGCUGAUGGGCAUAAAACUGUAUUUACAGAAAAGGCCAAGCUGAUUUUCCAUAACUCUCCUGCAAGGCAGCCCUCUUUCCUCUGCUUGUCUGAUAAAAGAAGAGAAGCCAGCAUUCACAGCACUGCUAAUAUAAAUCAACAGAUUGGAGGCAUCUUUCCAAAUAGACAACUGUGUUUAUUAGUACAAGAUACUAGUAAAAGCACUCUGUAAUGAAGAUUUCCUCAUUUCUUUGUUUUAUGUUUAUUAUAGCCGUUCCUCUGUUGCAACAAAUAAAAUUGACAUGAGGAUUAUUAGAGUCA
ensembl:lncRNA